rnacentral:rRNA from 1 species
ACGUAGGGAGCAAGCGUUGUUCGGAUUUACUGGGCGUAAAGGGCGCGUAGGCGGCAAUUCAAGUCAUCUGUGAAAUCUCCGGGCUUAACUCGGAACUGUCAGAUGAUACUGCUUCGCUAGAGAGCAGAAGGGGCAAUCGGAAUUCUUGGUGUAGCGGUGAAAUGCGUAGAUAUCAAGAGGAACACCUGAGGUGAAGACGGGUUGCUGGGCUGACACUGACGCUGAGGCGCGAAAGCUAGGGGAGCGAACGGGA